CUGUCAAAUGAAAUAUGGCGGUUUAUAGUCGAACUUGAGGACAUUUGCGAAUUAUAUUUGGAUUCAAAGUAAAAUAAACUUAUAUACGUGUUAGUUCCUUAAAGCAACAAAUUAACUACGUAACUUUGUGAUCCAUGGUGUUAUUUUGUUUCCGCAAGACGAAUAAAUAGUGGUGUCAAAUUAGUCAACGCGGUCAAAGGCGGGACAAGAAGUUUCUUGUUUAGCUAUAUAUCUGUAUAUUCGGAUAGAUCGACAAGUAAAUACUAACAAAUUGUAGCAACAGGCAACUAGAUGAAAUACUACAAUGACUACAAAGAAGUGAGGAAGAUAACAGAAUCGCAAUGCAAAUACGACUAUCAAAGUGGAUUUGAAUAACUAGAAAGUUGAAAAGAAGUUGAAAGCUGGUGUUGGUUUGUUAAACCUGUGACUCUUAACUGGACAAACUCAUUUCAAUGUACCAGAAUGAACCCCAAACUGAACCCGUACCUGGCUAGACAAGAAGGAACUCCCCGACACCUGUCAAUUAUUAUCUCUGCAGUCCUAACUUCUUUGAAGAGAGAAAUGAAAUAAUGCAAGCAACGUUUUCGACUGGAAGCUGCAGAAAGCAAGCCGUGGCCCCGGGCACCCUGUUCACUCAUAGAAGCAGUCCAUCAAAAAUGAGCUACAAGCGGCUGAUUUGAGCUUGAGCGAAGCCUCAAGAGUCACUCAAGAUAGGAAGGCGUGGCGCGAGAUUAUGAAAGCCCUUUGCACCUCUAGUGCCUUAGGACUACAACAACAGUCCUGACUUCAGAAUGUUGGUGUCUACAAGUGUUUGCCUGUCUACCCCAGUCUACCAGAAAAACCCUGUCAUGAGUAUGGGUUGUGAGUCUAUCACUUCCAGUCUACAAACUAUGUAUGCUGUGGAAAUGACUUCAUGCCUAAUUUAUUUAUGUGAAGUGUUAUGUAUAGCUAAAUGUAUUAUUUGUUAAAUAAAA